UACGUAGGGGCCGAGCGUUGUCCGGAGUUAUUGGGCGUAAAGCGCCCGUAGGCGGCUUGUCGCGUCGGAUGUGAAAGCCCGGGGCUUAACUCCGGGUCUGCAUUCGAUACGGGCAGGCUAGAGUUCGGUAGGGGAGAUCGGAAUUCCUGGUGUAGCGGUGGAAAUGACGCAGAUAUCAGGAGGAACACCGGUGGCGAAGGCGGAUCUCUGGGCCGAUACUGACGCUGAGGAGCGAAAGCGUGGGGAGCGAACAGG
rnacentral:rRNA from 1 species